GUAUGGGAGUGAGAAUGUUGGCAUGAGUAGCGAGAUGUGGGUGAGAAUCCCACAGGCCGUAAACCCAAGGUUUCCAGGGGAAGGUUCGUCCGCCCUGGGUUAGUCGGGACCUAAGCUGAGGCCGAAAGGCGUAGGUGAUGGACAACAGGUUGAUAUUCCUGUACUACCGAUAACCGUUUGAGAGAAGGGAUGACACAGUAGGAUAAGCUAAGCACACUGUUGGUUAUGUGUGCCCAAGCAUUGAGGCAGUCAAAGUAGGCAAAUCCGCUUUGAUAAUGCUGGGAUGUGAUGGGGAGCGAAAUUUAGUAGCGAAGUAGCUGAUUUCACACUGUCAAGAAAAGUCUCUAUCGAGGUUAAAGGUACCCGUACCGCAAACCGACACAGGUGGGUGAGGAGAGUAUCCUAAGGCCAGCGAGAGAACUGUUGUUAAGGAACUCGGCAAAAUGACCCCGUAACUUAGGGAUAAGGGGUGCCACCAUCAGGUGGCCGCAGAGAAUAGGCCCAAGCGACUGUUUACCAAAAACAUAGGUUUCUGCUAAGUCGCAAGACGAUGUAUAGGAGCUGACGCCUGCCCGGUGCUGGAAGGUUAAGGGGAUCUGUUAGAGCAAUCGAAGCAGUGAACUUAAGCCCCAGUAAACGGCGGCCGUAACUAUAACGGUCCUAAGGUAGCGAAAUUCCUUGUCGGGUAAGUUCCGACCCGCACGAAAGGCGUAACGAUUUGGGCACUGUCUCAACAACAGACUCGGUGAAAUUGUAAUUCCGGUGAAGAUGCCGGAUACCUGCGACAGGACGGAAAGACCCCAUGGAGCUUUACUGUAGCUUGACAUUGGGUCUUGGUACUACAUGUACAGGAUAGGUGGGAGGCUUUGAAACCAGGACGCCAGUUUUGGCGGAGCCAUCCUUGGGAUACCACCCUUGUAGUACUGGGACUCUAACCAUAGGCCAUGAAUCUGGUCUUGGGACACUGUCAGGUGGGCAGUUUGACUGGGGCGGUCGCCUCCCAAAAGGUAACGGAGGCGCUCAAAGGUUCUCUCAGUACGGUCGGAAAUCGUACGUAGAGUGUAAAGGCAAAAGAGAGCUUGAUUGCAAGACAUACAGGUCGAGCAAGGAUGAAAAUCGGACUUAGUGAUCCGGUGGUUCUGCGUGGAAGGGCCAUCGCUCAACGGAUAAAAGCUACCCUGGGGAUAACAGGCUUAUCUCCCCCAAGAG
rnacentral:rRNA from 1 species